UUACGGCCACACCACAUUGAAACACCGGUUCUCUUACGAUCACCGAAGAUAAGCAACGCCGAGCCUGGUCAGUACCAAGAUGCGUGACCACUUGGGAAUACCAUCUGC